rnacentral:lncRNA from 1 species
UAUUUUUUGAAUUUCUUUCGGACUUCGUCUGCAUUCGAGCUUCCCCGACAGUGAGAUUUCUACGGUAACUAGACUCCAUCCAAGUUUCCUCGACGGUCGACCGCCUUUCAGAUCCCAAUUGAGCUCCCGCGAGAGCCAAACUUCUACUACGAAUGGUCUACUCUGAACUCCUACAGCGGGCUAUCUAUCCCAGACAUCUACUGUAAGUAAAUUCCAUUCAAGCCUCUACUGUAAAUGAACUCCCUCCGAACUUCUAUUACAGGUAGACUUCAGUCGAGCUACUUCUCCGACGGAUGGGUUCCGGAC